rnacentral:rRNA from 1 species
AUUGAACGCUGGCGGCGUGCCUAACACAUGCAAGUCGAGCGGUAACAGGUGUAGCAAUACAUGCUGACGAGCGGCGGACGGGUGAGUAACGCUUGGGAAUCUGCCUAUUAGUGGGGGACAACCCGGGGAAACUCGGGCUAAUACCGCAUACGCUCUACGGAGGAAAGCCGGGGACCGCAAGGCCUGGCGCUAACAGAUGAGCCCAAGUCGGAUUAGCUAGUUGGUAGGGUAACGGCCACCAAGGCGACGAUCCGUAACUGGUCUGAGAGGACGACCAGUCACACCGGAACUGAGACACGGUCCGGACUCCUACGGGAGGCAGCAGUGGGGAAUAUUGGACAAUGGGCGAAAGCCUGAUCCAGCGACGCCGCGUGGGUGAAGAAGGCCUGCGGGUUGUAAAGCCCUUUCGGUGGGGAAGAAAAGCCUCGAGUUAAUACCUCGGGGUCUUGACGUAACCCAUAGAAGAAGCACCGGCUAACUCUGUGCCAGCCGCCG